UUGAAUGCUUGUCCUCUCUAAAAAAAAUAAAAUAAAAAAUAUAUAUAUUCAGUAGAGCGAGGGCGAGCGACUAGAUUAGGAAUGGCUAUGCCACGAUUCCCUCAAGCUGUAUCGAACGAAAAAUCAGAGACAAAUCCACACACCCACACAAGAAAAAACCACAUACAGUGCGGGUGGAUUAAAGCCCUAACCGGUGAAAAUGUUUUUCCCUCUUUCCAUCAAGCCUCUUUCAGUUGGCCAUCAGAGCAAACCCUAACCCCUAAAGAAGAAACCCUAAAUCUGGAAUCCUCCAUUAGAGACGCGAAGGUGUGUUCGGCGAUUUGCAGACAACCGCUGCUGCUAGAGUUGGGCUAGAGGAGUUCAAUUUUUGAAGAGGAUGCAAAUGAACAGGAUGCUGAACCAAAAGACCGAAAAAUUGGGAAGCUUUGUGAUUAUGCUUUGAAAAAUCCAUUACGAAUACCAAAGAUUACUGAUUACCUAGAGCACAGAUUUUAUAAGGAUUUGAGGAAUGAGCAUUUUGGCUCCGUAAAAGUUGUGCUUUGCAUUUAUAGGAAAUUGCUAUCAUCAUGUAACGAGCAGAUAAUGUGCUUCAUCUUCAUUUUGCGGAGCUUUAAAUCUUGUUUGCAAAGUUUGUUUCCGAGGUCAAAGCUAGAAUUGCGGGUUGCAGUUGCUGUUACUUUUUUUGUUGCCGCUAUAUUUUUUGUAUGGCUCAUGAAGAAGUUGCAAGAUGAUAUGAAGAAUUUUUGUUUUAUUUUCGUUAAGUAAAUAUAUAAGGUGUGGAUCAUGUACUUAUUUGAAAUUUGUAUAUGCCUAAUAUUUGUAUAAAACAAUGAUCUGGAAUUGGUUAUAUAUAUAUAUAUAUAUAUGAUGUUAUUGGUCAGUUGUAAAUUAUUUUGGUUAUGAUACUAUUUUUUAUUUACUUAGGGUUUGAUUAUGGGGUCCUUGCAAGGCUAGUAGUUUGGAAAAAAAAAAAAAAAAAAGGCUUCAAAUGGGCUACACUAUUUAAAAAAAAUAAUAAUAAUAAUAAAAAUAAAAUAAAAUAAAAUUAUAUAACACUUUCUACCACGGUUAUGCACCGUGGUAGAAAGUCUAUUAUUUUAUAAGAAAAUAGACUUUCUACCACGGUUCCGACUUUCUACCAUGGUGCAAAACCGUGGUAGAAAAUAGCCGUGGUAGAAAACCUUUUCCACCGUGAUAAAAAGUUAUUUUUCUUGUAGCUGUAAAUUACAAGAUCUACAAGAAUCAGAUUAGCCUCCCAAAUCACCUCCAUCUCUAUUCUCGUUCUUGACUCUAAACUUGCCCACUCUCUGUCUCUGCAAUUGCAAACUACAAAAUCUACAAGAAUCUGAUCAGCCUCCGAAAUCGCCUCCAUCUCUAUUCUCGUUCUCAACUCUAAACUUGCCCUUUCUCUAUCUCUGCAACUGCAACUACAAAAUCUACAAGAAUUAGAACCCAUAUCGGCAUAUCAUUUCAGAUUGUUCAAAAUAUCAAAACCCAUAUCCUUCAAUUUCCAUCGCCCGUUGUUCCAGUUCGGGUUCAUCGUUCGCAAGCUUUAGCCUCUGGCCCGCUGUCUCUCAACUCUCAAGCCCUCUCUCUACAACUGUUAACUUGUAUGUAUGGGUUUUGUUUUAUUAUUUUUUUCUAAAUCAAUUAAUCAAUUUCUGUAAUUCUUGUUUUGCAAACUAAAUCAUAUUAAGUGAAAUUUUUAGGGCAAAUCAUUUCAGCCUCCCCAAUCGCCUCCAUCUCUAUUGUCAUUCUCAACUCUGAACUUGCCCUCUCUCUCUAUAUCUCUGCAAUUGCAAACUACAAAAUCUACAAGAAUUAGAACCCAUAUCAGCAUAUCAUUUCAGGUUGUUCAAAAUAUCAAAACCCAUAUCCCCCGUUGUUCCAAUUCGGGUUCGCCGUUCGCAAGCUUUAGCCUCUGGCCCACUGCCUCUCAACUCUCAAGCCCUCUCUCUGCAACUGCUAACUUAAAUCCCAACAUUCAGAGCUGCGUUGUUUUUAAUGAUAGCUUUUGCUGUUGUACCA